UGGGGAAUUUUGGACAAUGGGCGCAAGCCUGAUCCAGCCAUGCCGCGUGAGUGACGAAGGCCUUAGGGUUGUAAAGCUCUUUUGGCGGGGACGAUAAUGACGGUACCCGCAGAAUAAGCCCCGGCUAACUUCGUGCCAGCAGCCGCGGUAAUACGAAGGGGGCUAGCGUUGUUCGGAAUCACUGGGCGUAAAGCGCACGUAGGCGGAUUUGUAAGUCAGGGGUGAAAUCCCGGGGCUCAACCUCGGAACUGCCUUUGAUACUGCAAGUCUCGAGUUCGGGAGAGGUGAGUGGAAUUCCUAGUGUAGAGGUGAAAUUCGUAGAUAUUAGGAAGAACACCAGUGGCGAAGGCGGCUCACUGGCCCGAUACUGACGCUGAGGUGCGAAAGCGUGGGGAGCAAACAGGAUUAGAUACCCACGUAGUCCCUGAGCGGGCUGGCAAGGCGCAU
rnacentral:rRNA from 1 species